UACGUAGGCAGCGAGCGUUGUUCGGAGUUACUGGGCGUAAAGAGUGCGUAGGCGGUUUUCUAAGUUUGGUGUGAAAUCUCCCGGCUCAACUGGGAGGGUGCGCCGAAGACUGGAAGGCUCAGAGUGUGGGAGAGGUAAGCGGAAUUCCUGGUGUAGCGGUGAAAUGCGUAGAUAUCAGGAGGAACACCUGCGGUGUAGACGGCUUACUGGACCAUGACUGACGCUGAGGCACGAAAGCGUGGGUAGCAAACAGG
rnacentral:rRNA from 1 species